rnacentral:rRNA from 1 species
AAUGAACGCUGGCGGCGCGCCUAAUACAUGCAAGUCGAGCGAGAAGACGUAGCAAUACGUUUGUAAAGCGGCGAACGGGUGAGGAAUACAUGGGUAACCUACCCUCGAGUGGGGAAUAACUAGCCGAAAGGUUAGCUAAUACCGCGUACGCUCCUUGGACUUCGGUUCAGGGAGGAAAGCGAUACCGUGGGUAUCGCGCUCUUGGUUGGGCUCAUGUCCUAUCAGCUUGUUGGUGAGGAACGGCUCACCAAGGCUUCGACGGGUAGCUGGUCUGAGAGGACGAUCAGCCACGACUGGCACUGCGACACGGGCCAGACUCCUACGGGAGCAGCAGUAAGGAAUAUUGCGCAAUGGGCGAAAGCCUGACGCAGCGACGCCGCGUGGGGGAU